AUGACUUGGCGAAUCGUAACCCUCCUAUUUUCGGUUUGUAAUCAGGACGAUCAAUACCACUCAGUGUUGACGCCACGUCCAAGUACAGCUUUGUGAGAACAAUCUUUUCAAGAGGAAGGAUGACCAGUUCAAAAAUAGGGUGUGUGGAAUCACUUCGUUAUCCCUCUGGAUUACGUGUUACCUUUCUUCACGGGGACAUAACCCUGGCUCGCGCUACCGCCGUGGUGACGGGCGAAAACCAAGACUUUCGUGUUGAGAGUUCAGUGACCAAAGCACUAAUCCAGAAGUCCAAAGACUUUGAACAUUUGAGAAAUAAACUCAGUCAACGUUGUUUAUCUAAUGACUUAUGGACUGUAUAUCCGGCGUUUCUUGGAAUGCCAUUUAAAUAUGUUCUGUUUGCAUUUCUCGAACGCAUGGACGGUGAUGAAUGGAUGAAGGGUAUGAAAUAUCUGUACAAAGACAUCUUCAAAACUGUUGAAGACUUCGAUAUUGCGACGUUGGCUAUACCGUUGUUAGGCUCAGGUGUGGUCAAAAGGGAAGACUCGGCGAUAAUUGCAGCCGCAAGAUCCUCUGUUAAAUACAAACCAAGCAAGCGCAGGGAAAUCAUUUUCGUUGCAUCAAGUUUUGAUAGAGCAGACAAAAUGGCUACACAGUGGAAGUAUGAAUUGCAUAAAGAGUCAACCAAAGGCAAUUUGUCCCGUUUCGUAUCAGCUGUUAAGGAUACAUUCGAGGUUGCCCCUCCAGACAGAAUUUAUGAGAGGCCGCGAAGAAACAGUACAAGGCAUGACCGAGAUAUAACGGUAUCCCAGUCGAAAAAGCAAGGCCACCCCAAAGCUUCCUCGAUGAACAAAAACGAGAGCCUGAGUUUAAGGGAACGUGAAAACAUCGACAGGGCCAUAGCAGAGUCAUUAGAAGCCGAAACCAAGCGCCGUAAUUCAACCAAACGGGAUCACCGGCCGCGAAGUUAUGGUCAGUAUGGUAACCAAGGUCAUUCUGCAAGAAAAGCAAGUUACAGGGAGGGAAUGUUCCGAAAUUUCCAAGAAGACAAUUCUGUCUGGGAGAACACUACUGAUGAAGAAAUGAGGGUCACCGAGAUGCAAGCAAGUAGUGAUGCUGACACUGUCCCUAGCAGCACCACAGAGGAUGACAGUCGAAGUAUCAGUGACUCCGAGAAUAUGUUAACUUGUGCAAUAUGUUUGGGGGUCAUCAUUGAUCUGAAACAACUGGACAAAUGUUAUCACAUCUUCUGUAAAUCGUGCAUAGAUCGCAGUUUCAGAGAGCACAAGCCUGUUUGCCCCACAUGCAACAUGGUGUAUGGGGUUAUCAAAGGUAACCAGCCAGACGGGACGAUGAAAGUUGUCUACAACAGCACUCCCCUUUCCGGCUAUGAAGACUGGGGGAGCAUCCAAAUCAACUAUGACAUCCCGAGUGGUAUACAAACGACAGGACAACCUGACCCUGGUGUGGCAUUCAAGGGAAUCACACGACGGGCAUACCUCCCAGCCUGCCCGGAAGGAAAGGACAUUCUAAGACUUCUCAGGAUCGCUUUUGACAGGAAGUUGACCUUUACCGUCGGACGUUCUACAACAACCGGUCGGGAAAAUGUCGUUACAUGGAACGACAUUCAUCAUAAAACAAACAAGGAUGGUGGGCCGACAAGAUUUGGCUAUCCAGAUCCCACAUACCUGACUCGAGUUCGUGACGAGCUUGCCAGCAAGGGUGUCACAGCAGACAAUGUCUAGACGCUGGGGAACAGAUCAAGGUUGAUGUUUAUGGACCUGGUGUCACCUCAGCAGCCAAGAAGCACUUUGAUUCGUUUUCAAAAUAGACGAAUUUGUUAUAGCUCUGUCGAUACUAUUUACUGAUAUAUUAUUCAUCUGACACAGUAAAUAUGAAACGACAACGCCAGUGGAUAAUCAGGCUAAUUAUCUGGUCGUGGUCUGUGCAUUUUAUUUUCUGAAGGGAGGCUGAGAAGGAGUAAGAAAUAAUGGGUAAUAAAGAAAUUAUAACACUCGCCUAUGUCUCAUACGGAUUUUACGAAAAUUGUGAAAGAAUACAUGUAUUACCUUCGUUCUCGCUCGGGACAUACAAGAAUUCUGUCACUCGUUUCGUAAAAUCAGUAUUCGUAAGUAUCUAUUUAGUCAAUAUGUAUCAGGUACGCUGAGUGAUGGUCAUCAUUGUGCUGCAAACACUUCUUAAUAGUUUACGUUGUCAUCAUAUAUACAUAUUUCCAUGGAUAGCUAUUUUAAUAAAAAAAAUUAUUAGUAGCUUUAAUAUGCAUAGGGUUAGGGAAACGUUUUACGUGUGUCGUACCCAUUCAUAUUUCCGAAAUUCAAGCUGUUUUCCUUGCGAUUUAAUGACACUUUGUGCACAUAUCAACCAUGCACUGAGGUUGUGCGAUGACCACAAUCGUAUUAGUCUCCUAACCAGACAGGCUCAAGUAAUGCCUCUGACUAUAUAUUGAAUUCUAGAAAGCCAACACUGCGCACAUUUGACGACUUCCUUUUUCUGUUGUAACUGCUAUUACCUACUCAUGAUUCAUUUACAGUAGUGCGUUUGUAAAGGGCAAAUGUGACAUUUAAUAUUAUUCUUUAACAAUUGUGUGUGUGUUUUCACAUUAUGCCUAAUACUCUCAUACGUUCUUUUAUGUCAGUAUAGUGGAUUGGUAUUUCUUGCCUUCAACUCUAUUUCUUGUUAAUGUACUUGUUUAUGUCAUGGUUAAGACAUGUUCUAGUCAAUUCGGAAUCAUUGAAAAUACUCUGACCUAUUUACAAUUCCUCUAAAAGAAGUAGGUAUGAUGAAAGGUUCCAGUUUUUAUCAGCAAAAAUCAUCGUGUGGGCUUGACGAUGGCGGAAGACCAAUAGUUAUGAAGGUCUUAGUCGUUUACCGGGGCGAUCGGGUCUAGUGGUUAAAGCGUUCGCUCGUCACGCUGAAAACCCGGGUUCGAUUCCCGAUAUGGGUACAAUGUGUGAUAUUGCUGGAAUAUUGCUAAAAGCGUCGUUAAACCUUACUUACUCACUGGUCGUUUACCAUUUCGAUGAUGCCCAUGAAUGACAAACCUAGAAAUCCAUUCAAGGCGAACCGGGAUUCGAACCCACGAACAAGGGUUUCUGACACACCUAGGGGACGCAACUCCGUACAGCGAUUUGCAAAGCCUUAGACAAAUGGGACACCAAUGUCCACUAAUCCUUUAAGAGACAUUUCUCGGAUCAUUUCGCAAAUAAACACAAAUAUGUCCGUCUUAAGAAAUAAAUCACUACACUUCAUGGAAAA
rnacentral:misc_RNA from 1 species